rnacentral:rRNA from 1 species
GCGGUCUCCUCCUAAAGAGUAACGGAGGAGCACGAAGGUUGGCUAAUCCUGGUCGGACAUCAGGAGGUUAGUGCAAUGGCAUAAGCCAGCUUGACUGCGAGCGUGACGGCGCGAGCAGGUGCGAAAGCAGGUCAUAGUGAUCCGGUGGUUCUGAAUGGAAGGGCCAUCGCUCAACGGAUAAAAGGUACUCCGGGGAUAACAGGCUGAUACCGCCCAAGAGUUCAUAUCGACGGCGGUGUUUGGCACCUCGAUGUCGGCUCAUCACAUCCUGGGGCUGAAGUAGGUCCCAAGGGUAUGGCUGUUCGCCAUUUAAAGUGGUACGCGAGCUGGGUUUAGAACGUCGUGAGACAGUUCGGUCCCUAUCUGCCGUGGGCGCUGGAGAACUGAGGGGGGCUGCUCCUAGUACGAGAGGACCGGAGUGGACGCAUCACUGGUGUUCGGGUUGUCAUGCCAAUGGCACUGCCCGGUAGCUAAAUGCGGAAGAGAUAAGUGCUGAAAGCAUCUAAGCACGAAACUUGCCCCGAGAUGAGUUCUCCCUGACCCUUUAAGGGUCCUGAAGGAACGUUGAAGACGACGACGUUGAUAGGCCGGGUGUGUAAGCGCAGCGAUGCGUUGAGCUAACCGGUACUAAUGAACCGUGAGG